rnacentral:rRNA from 1 species
AAUCCCGUGAACCAUCGAGUCUUUGAACGCAAGUUGCGCCCGAAGCCGUCAGGCCGAGGGCACGUCUGCCUGGGCGUCACG